GGAGCCAGCGCUGAGGCUGGAUCCUGAAGGCUGGGAGGCACGGCUGGGCUGGCGAAGGACGAGCACAGCUCCCUCGGGCAGGGGCAGAGGAAGCACAGGUUGGGGCCCCCAGCGCCUCAGAUCUCCACCUGCUGUCCCUGCCAGUUACCGCUGGGAGAAGAGACCCUCAAGAUCUUGAGCACAGAGGAGAGUUUCCAACUUCCCACCCAUGUUACAGAGGGGAAAACUGAGACCCCGAGAAGAGGCAGCACCUGCCCAAGAAAGCACAACUCUUUCAGGAAGCCAUGCCAAAACGCAUCCCCAGGGCAACCUGACUUGCCUUAUCUGACAUGUACUUCAACACAAUUGACUUGUCCCCGUGUAGCCCUGAGAAGAGCUGGGAGAGAGAAAGCGUGAUUUGCAGAGCUCAGAGAUGGGGGCCGGCUCUGCUCCUGUGUCACUCCUGUCACCCGAACGUGGCCCCAGCUCUGGCCACCAUCAUCCCGACCCAGACUCGAGUCCCACCUUGGGGCCUUUGCACAAGCUCUUCUCCCCCACCCUCCGCCCCCCAUGCCUCCCUCCGGCAAUUGCUUUGUGAAGCCACACCCCCUCCUCCCGGAUGCAGCCCCUCCCCACCUUCCUGAUGCAUCAGUUCUUGGCCCUAAAGAUACCAGCCCAUCGCCCUGAGUAUUCAAACAAAUUAAAGGUUUGAUCUGC